CCCCCCUUCAAGUUUCCAUAGAGCUUUAGCUUGUCACAUGAUGGACAAACAUGAUAUAAUUGAGUAAUGAAACAACACAGCCAAACCAACACACACACACACAGACACACACACAGAGAGAGAGAGAGAGAGAGAGAAAAUAAUAUUCCUGUGGAUGAGGACAGUGCAAAUGGCAAUCCAUUCACUUUAAUUCCCUGUGAGAGUACUUUCUCUGUGUCUAAAACACACACAGAGAGAGAGAGAGAGAGAGAGGCAAGAUCUCCCUCUUGUUGAUUUUAUUUGCUGCCUCUGGAUAGCACUGGGAGGGGGGGGGGAAUGUGAGAAAGAGAGAGAAGGAGAGAAGGAAAGAAAGAAAAAGAGAGAGAGAGAGAUGCUACACACACACAGUGCUUUCUGAAGUGCGUACCUCUGGAUAACACAGACGUGUGUGAAAAUACAGAUGGAGACCAGGUUUGCCUCAGUCAACAAGUGGAUGGCAUUUACAGAUUACAGUGCAGGAAAAGAUCGCAAGAGAGCAAAGAAAAAUAUCCUGCAGAGGAGCUGGCCGUAGCUUGAAGACAACGGACCUGCGAUGGUGAAAUGUAACUCCUCAAAACUCGGGUGACCGGUCACCUCUUAUUACCUCAUCGAUGUCGGGCAGAAACGGAUCAGGAACAGAAACCACUGAGUCCGACUGCUGUUAUAUUUAUAGGGCAAACGUAGCUACUGCCAGAGUUGAGCAACUGCGUUCGAUCAGUGGGAAUGAACAAACCAACAGUAGCCGGACUGACCUCUGAGCCAGUUGUUGUGCAGCAGCGAUGGGAGGAAGAUGGCUGCGCUGUGCGUGAAGCAUUCAACUCACCGGCUUGUCAGUCUCCGGAGAUGGUAAGCAGCUUUCCGUUAGGGGAGAGGGGUUAGGGAGCCAUUGACUUCCUGUUACUCCCAACCUCGUAGACCUGUAACGAUGUGAUAAGGCGUCGUAUCAAAUGCGAGGAUUGUUAUAAUAAUUAUUAUCACGACAGGGGUGAAGCCGCCAUCACCGAUGCCUCUUUAAAUGCAGCGAAACAAUAUCCCUGACGGGUUUAAGUCGUUUGCAGACAGGAGAAAAGAGCGAUUAAAACCAGCAUUCGCAGGACGCUAAUCGGCAUCGAGUGAGUCGCGGUAUUUAAACAAGUCCCCACGGUGGCUGGUCACGAUAACCUGCCGC